AACUGGUCGGGAGCUGAUGCCGCUUUCCUGACGAGGUCAUGGCAGACCGAAACCAAUU
rnacentral:hammerhead_ribozyme from 1 species